rnacentral:rRNA from 1 species
ACACAUGCAAGUCGAACGAAGUAGCAAUACUUAGUGGCAGACGGGUGAGUAACAUGUAGGUAUCUACCCUUUGGCCUGGAAUAACACGAGGAAACUUGUGCUAAUACCGGAUAAGUCUUUACGGGGAAAGCUUUAUGCACCAUUGGAUGAGCCUGCACUUGAUUAGUUUGUUGGUGGGGUAAUGGCCUACCAAGACUGUGAUCAAUAGCUGAUUUGAGAGGAUGAUCAGCCACAUUGGGACUGAGACACGGCCCAAACUCCUACGGGAGGCAGCAGUGGGGAAUCUUGCACAAUGGAGGAAGCUCUGAUGCAGCGAUGCCGCGCGAGUGAAGAAGGCCCUUGGGUUGUAAAGCUCUUUCGUCGGGGAAGAAAAUGACUGUACCCGAAUAAGAAGGUCCGGCUAACUUCGUGCCAGCAGCCGCGGUAAUACGAAGGGACCUAGCGUAGUUCGGAAUUACUGGGCUCUAAGAGUUCG